CGCUGGCGGCGUAGCUUAACACGAUGCAAGUCGAACGAGGGAAUCUUUUCGGAGAAUAUACCGAGUAGGGCAAACGGGUGAGUAACGCGUAGGCAACCUGCCUUCAAGAUGGGGACAACAGUCCGAAAGGGCUGCUAAUACCGAAUGACAUGUCUGAACCGCAUGGGACGGACAGCAAAGACGGCCUCCAAACUAUGCUGUCGCUUGAAGAUGGGCCUGCGUCUGAUUAGCUAGUUGGUGAGAUAACAGCCCACCAAGGCGACGAUCAGUAGCCGGUCUGAGAGGAUGAACGGCCACAUUGGGACUGAGACACGGCCCAAACUCCUACGGGAGGCAGCAGUGGGGAAUAUUGCACAAUGGAGGAAACUCUGAUGCAGCGACGCCGCGUGAGUGAAGAAGUAUUUCGGUAUGUAAAGCUCUAUCAGCAGGGAAGAUAAUGACGGUACCUGAAUAAGAAGCACCGGCUAAAUACGUGCC
rnacentral:rRNA from 1 species